UACGUAGGGGGCAAGCGUUGUCCGGAUUAUUGGGCGUAAAGCGCGCGUAGGCGGCGCGGUAUGUCGUGCGUGAAAUCUCCCGGCUUAACUGGGAGGGCCGUGCGAAACUGCCGGGGCUUAGGUCAGAAGGGGAAAGUGGAAUUCCGGGGUGUAGUGGUGGAAUACGUAGAUAUCCGGAGGAACACCAGCGGCGAAGGCGGCUUUCUGGUCUGAUACUGACGCUGAGGCGCGAAAGCGUGGGGAGCGAUCCGG
rnacentral:rRNA from 1 species